UACGAAGGGGGCUAGCGUUGUUCGGAAUUACUGGGCGUAAAGCGCACGUAGGCGGAUCGAUCAGUCAGGGGUGAAAUCCCAGGGCUCAACCCUGGAACUGCCUUUGAUACUGUCGAUCUGGAGUAUGGAAGAGGUGAGUGGAAUUCCGAGUGUAGAGGUGAAAUUCGUAGAUAUUCGGAGGAACACCAGUGGCGAAGGCGGCUCACUGGUCCAUUACUGACGCUGAGGUGCGAAAGCGUGGGGAG
rnacentral:rRNA from 1 species